rnacentral:rRNA from 1 species
CCUACGGGUGGCAGCAGUGGGGAAUAUUGCACAAUGGGGGAAACCCUGAUGCAGCAACGCCGCGUGAGUGAAGACGUAUUUCGGUAUGUAAAGCUCUAUCAGCAGGGAAGAAGAGAGACGGUACCUGACUAAGAAGCCCCGGCUAACUACGUGCCAGCAGCCGCGGUAAUACGUCGGGGGCAGGCGUUAUCCGGAUUUACUGGGUGUAAAGGGAGCGUAGGCGGCUUUGCAAGUCUGAAGUGAAAGCCCCGGGCUCAACCGCGGAACUGCGUUGGAAACUGUAGAGCUUGAGUACGGGAGAGGCAGGCGGAAUUCGUAGUGUAGCGGUGAAAUGCGUAGAUAUUAGGAGGAACACCAGUUGCGAAGGCGGCCUGCUGGACAGAAACUGACGCUGAGGCUCGAAAGCGUGGGGAGCAAACAGGAUUAGAUACCCGAGUAGUC